rnacentral:rRNA from 1 species
GAGUAACGCGUGAGGAACCUGCCUCAAAGAGGGGGACAACAGUUGGAAACGACUGCUAAUACCGCAUAAGCCCACGGCUCGGCAUCGAGCAGAGGGAAAAGGAGCAAUCCGCUUUGAGAUGGCCUCGCGUCCGAUUAGCUAGUUGGUGAGGUAACGGCCCACCAAGGCGACGAUCGGUAGCCGGACUGAGAGGUUGAACGGCCACAUUGGGACUGAGACACGGCCCAGACUCCUACGGGAGGCAGCAGUGGGGAAUAUUGCACAAUGGGGGAAACCCUGAUGCAGCGACGCCGCGUGGAGGAAGAAGGUCUUCGGAUUGUAAACUCCUGUUGUUGAGGAAGAUAAUGACGGUACUCAACAAGGAAGUGACGGCUAACUACGUGCCAGCAGCCGCGGUAAAACGUAGGUCACAAGCGUUGUCCGGAAUUACUGGGUGUAAAGGGAGCGCAGGCGGGAGAACAAGUUGGAAGUGAAAUCCAUGGGCUCAACCCAUGAACUGCUUUCAAAACUGUUUUUCUUGAGUAGUGCAGAGGUAGGCGGAAUUCCCGGUGUAGCGGUGGAAUGCGUAGAUAUCGGGAGGAACACCAGUGG